rnacentral:rRNA from 1 species
UUAAGUUAUUAAGGGCGCACGGUGGAUGCCUUGGCACUAGAAGCCGAUGAAGGACGUUACUAACGACGAUAUGCUUUGGGGAGCUGUAAGUAAGCUUUGAUCCAGAGAUUUCCGAAUGGGGAAACCCAGCAUGAGUUAUGUCAUGUUAUCGAUAUGUGAAUACAUAGCAUAUCAGAAGGCACACCCGGAGAACUGAAACAUCUUAGUACCCGGAGGAAGAGAAAGAAAAUUCGAUUCCCUUAGUAGCGGCGAGCGAAAUGGGAAGAGCCCAAACCAACAAGCUUGCUUGUUGGGGUUGUAGGACACUCUAUACGGAGUUACAAAGGACGACAUUAGACGAAUCAUCUGGAAAGAUGAAUCAAAGAAGGUAAUAAUCCUGUAGUCGAAAAUGUUGUCUCUCUUGAGUGGAUCCUGAGUACGACGGAGCACGUGAAAUUCCGUCGGAAUCUGGGAGGACCAUCUCCUAAGGCUAAAUACUCUCUAGUGACCGAUAGUGAACCAGUACCGUGAGGGAAAGGUGAAAGGCACCCCGGAAGGGGAGUGAAAUAGAACCUGAAACCGUGUGCUUACAAGUAGUCAGAGCCCGUUAAUGGGUGAUGGCGUGCCUUUUGUAGAAUGAACCGGCGAGUUACGAUUUGAUGCAAGGUUAAGCAGUAAAUGUGGAGCCGUAGCGAAAGCGAGUCUGAAUAGGGCGUUUAGUAUUUGGUCGUAGACCCGAAACCAGGUGAUCUACCCUUGGUCAGGUUGAAGUUCAGGUAACACUGAAUGGAGGACCGAACCGACUUACGUUGAAAAGUGAGCGGAUGAACUGAGGGUAGCGGAGAAAUUCCAAUCGAACCUGGAGAUAGCUGGUUCUCUCCGAAAUAGCUUUAGGGCUAGCCUCAAGUGAUGAUUAUUGGAGGUAGAGCACUGUUUGGACGAGGGGCCCCUCUCGGGUUACCGAAUUCAGACAAACUCCGAAUGCCAAUUAAUUUAACUUGGGAGUCAGAACAUGGGUGAUAAGGUCCGUGUUCGAAAGGGAAACAGCCCAGACCACCAGCUAAGGUCCCAAAAUAUAUGUUAAGUGGAAAAGGAUGUGGCGUUGCCCAGACAACUAGGAUGUUGGCUUAGAAGCAGCCAUCAUUUAAAGAGUGCGUAAUAGCUCACUAGUCGAGUGACACUGCGCCGAAAAUGUACCGGGGCUAAACAUAUUACCGAAGCUGUGGAUUGUCCUUUGGACAAUGGUAGGAGAGCGUUCUAAGGGCGUUGAAGCAUGAUCGUAAGGACAUGUGGAGCGCUUAGAAGUGAGAAUGCCGGUGUGAGUAGCGAAAGACGGGUGAGAAUCCCGUCCACCGAUUGACUAAGGUUUCCAGAGGAAGGCUCGUCCGCUCUGGGUUAGUCGGGUCCUAAGCUGAGGCCGACAGGCGUAGGCGAUGGAUAACAGGUUGAUAUUCCUGUACCACCUAUAAUCGUUUUAAUCGAUGGGGGGACGCAGUAGGAUAGGCGAAGCGUGCGAUUGGAUUGCACGUCUAAGCAGUAAGGCUGAGUAUUAGGCAAAUCCGGUACUCGUUAAGGCUGAGCUGUGAUGGGGAGAAGACAUUGUGUCUUCGAGUCGUUGAUUUCACACUGCCGAGAAAAGCCUCUAGAUAGAAAAUAGGUGCCCGUACCGCAAACCGACACAGGUAGUCAAGAUGAGAAUUCUAAGGUGAGCGAGCGAACUCUCGUUAAGGAACUCGGCAAAAUGACCCCGUAACUUCGGGAGAAGGGGUGCUCUUUAGGGUUAACGCCCAGAAGAGCCGCAGUGAAUAGGCCCAAGCGACUGUUUAUCAAAAACACAGGUCUCUGCUAAACCGUAAGGUGAUGUAUAGGGGCUGACGCCUGCCCGGUGCUGGAAGGUUAAGAGGAGUGGUUAGCUUCUGCGAAGCUACGAAUCGAAGCCCCAGUAAACGGCGGCCGUAACUAUAACGGUCCUAAGGUAGCGAAAUUCCUUGUCGGGUAAGUUCCGACCCGCACGAAAGGCGUAACGAUUUGGGCACUGUCUCAACGAGAGACUCGGUGAAAUCAUAGUACCUGUGAAGAUGCAGGUUACCCGCGACAGGACGGAAAGACCCCGUGGAGCUUUACUGUAGCCUGAUAUUGAAAUUCGGCACAGCUUGUACAGGAUAGGUAGGAGCCUUUGAAACGUGAGCGCUAGCUUACGUGGAGGCGCUGGUGGGAUACUACCCUAGCUGUGUUGGCUUUCUAACCCGCACCACUUAUCGUGGUGGGAGACAGUGUCAGGCGGGCAGUUUGACUGGGGCGGUCGCCUCCUAAAAGGUAACGGAGGCGCUCAAAGGUUCCCUCAGAAUGGUUGGAAAUCAUUCAUAGAGUGUAAAGGCAUAAGGGAGCUUGACUGCGAGACCUACAAGUCGAGCAGGGUCGAAAGACGGACUUAGUGAUCCGGUGGUUCCGCAUGGAAGGGCCAUCGCUCAACGGAUAAAAGCUACCCCGGGGAUAACAGGCUUAUCUCCCCCAAGAGUUCACAUCGACGGGGAGGUUUGGCACCUCGAUGUCGGCUCAUCGCAUCCUGGGGCUGUAGUCGGUCCCAAGGGUUGGGCUGUUCGCCCAUUAAAGCGGUACGCGAGCUGGGUUCAGAACGUCGUGAGACAGUUCGGUCCCUAUCCGUCGUGGGCGUAGGAAAUUUGAGAGGAGCUGUCCUUAGUACGAGAGGACCGGGAUGGACAUACCUCUGGUGUACCAGUUGUCGUGCCAACGGCAUAGCUGGGUAGCUAUGUGUGGACGGGAUAAGUGCUGAAAGCAUCUAAGCAUGAAGCCCCCCUCAAGAUGAGAUUUCCCAACUUCGGUUAUAAGAUCCCUCAAAGAUGAUGAGGUUAAUAGGUUCGAGGUGGAAGCAUGGUGACAUGUGGAGCUGACGAAUACUAAUCGAUCGAAGACUUAAUCAA